AUCGGCUUGAAGCGAGCCAGCUCCUUCAUGCGGGUGGGACCUUUCUUAUGGCUGAUCCACACGCUGAACGAGCCCUGCAUCAACACGCGGCCCAGCUCGCAGAUGUCACCCUGCACAUAACGGAAGGAGGUGUUUAUGUUGGCUUGCUGUGAUAUUUGUGUCAACAAGAUCUGCUGCUGACUGAUGUCCAAGCAUCAGGCCCACUAUCAAACCCUGCUCUCUGUCUAACCUUAAGCAGCAGCUGAUAUUUGGUGAGGCGUUGGACUGGUUUCAACAGAAAACAAGCUCCCACACCUUCAGGAGCCUCCAGGCAUCCUUCCAGGUCCUGAAGGAAGACCCUGGAUUCCCAGAAGGUCAAAGGUCACACAUCAACCUCAGUGCAUAAAGUGGUAUAUACAUGGGGUUUUCUACAGAAAUACUUGUUAUACUUAAUCUUGCACACCAUCGACAACAGUACGAGUAUAAAUAAAAAUUCUUGACAUAAUUGUGUCUAUUUUUGUGUGUCAUGGUCAAACUUGCAUGCAUUAUUAUACAUUCUUGGUAUGUUAA